UACAGAGGUCUCAAGCGUUGUUCGGAUUCAUUGGGCGUAAAGGGUGUGUAGGUGGCGCGCUAAGUCGGGUGUGAAAUUUCGGAGCUUAACUCCGAAACUGCCUUUGAUACUGGCGGUCUCGAGUCCGGGAGAGGUGAGUGGAACUGCGAGUGUAGAGGUGAAAUUCGUAGAUAUUCGCAAGAACACCAGUGGCGAAGGCGGCUCACUGGCCCGGUACUGACGCUGAGGUGCGAAAGCGUGGGGAGCAAACAGG
rnacentral:rRNA from 1 species